CUCUGUUCAGAAUCAUUUUUCCGCUAACAAUAGUUUGUCGUUACUUACAUCUGUAUACACCUGUACACUAAAAUAUUACCUAUAACAGUAGCUCUGUUCAGUAGCUCUGUAGCUCAGUAGCAUCUGUUCCUAUGGCAUCCUAGGACGUAUUUUUUUUCACAAUCGAAUGUGUGAUUCGAAUACGUAUUUCGGCCAAUUUUACCUUGUACUUUU